GCAGCCAUCAUUUAAAGAAAGCGUAAUAGCUCACUGGUCGAGUCGGCCUGCGCGGAAGAUGUAACGGGGCUAAACCAUGCACCGAAGCUGCGGCAGCGAACGUAUCACUUAAAGCGAUUCAGCGGGUUACGAUUGACGGAGCGAAGCGACGUCAAAGCGUAUACAAAGUCGAGUCGGUUUAAGGAUACGUUCGUUGGGUAGGGGAGCGUUCUGUAAGCCUGCGAAGGUGGCCUGUGAGGGUUGCUGGAGGUAUCAGAAGUGCGAAUGCUGACAUAAGUAACGAUAAAGCGGGUGAAAAGCCCGCUCGCCGGAAGACCAAGG
rnacentral:rRNA from 1 species